CCUAAGUACUACUCUGUGACCGAUAGCGAACAAGUACCGUGAGGGAAAGGUGAAAAGAACCCCUAUAAGGGGAGUGAAACAGACCUGAAACCGAAUGCUUACAAACAGUAGGAGCUACAUUAAGUAGUGACUGCGUACCUUUUGUAUAAUGGGUCAGCGAGUUAAUUUAUUGAGCAAGCUUAAGCCGUUAGGUGUAGGCGAAGCGAAAGCGAGUAUGAAUAGUGCGUUUUAGUUCGAUGGAUUAGACCCGAAACCGGGUGAUCUAGCUAUGGGCAGGUUGAAGGUGCAGUAACAUGCACUGGAGGACCGAACCCACGUCUGUUGAAAAAGACGGGGAUGACCUGUGGCUAGGGGUGAAAGGCCAAUCAAACCCGGAGAUAGCUGGUUCUCCGCGAAAACUAUUUAGGUAGUGCGUUAUAUAUUACUGCCGGGGGUAGAGCACUGGAUGGGCUAGGGGGGCGCGAGCCUUACCAAACCUAACCAAACUCCGAAUACCGGUAAGUACAGUAUGGCAGACAGUCCAUGGGUGCUAAGGUCCUUGGACGAGAGGGAAAGAGCCCAGACCACCAGCUAAGGUCCCUAAGUUAUGGCUAAGUGGGAAAGGAUGUGGGAAGGCCAAGACAGCCAGGAGGUUGGCUUAGAAGCAGCCAUCCUUUAAAGAAAGCGUAACAGCUCACUGGUCUAAAUAAGCCGUCCUGCGCCGAAGAUUUAACGGGGCUAAAGCCAUACACCGAAGCUGUGGAUGCCGUAAGGCAUGGUAGCGGAGCGUUCUGUAAGCCGUUGAAGGUGACACGUGAGUGUCAUUGGAGGUAUCAGAAGUGAGAAUGCUGACAUGAGUAGCGAUAAAGAGUGUGAGAAACACUCUCGCCGAAAGCCCAAGGGUUCCUGCGCAAGGUUAAUCCACGCAGGGUUAGUCGGCCCCUAAGAUGAGGGCGAAAGCCGUAGUCGAUGGGAACACGGUUAAUAUUCCGUGACCUGAUGGUAGUGACGGAUGGUAUAAGUUGUAAAUUCUUAACGGAUUGAGUUUGCAGCGAAGCCGUUCCAGGAAAUAGCUCCAUCAUUAAGACCGUACCCGAAACCGACACAGGUGGGCAGGUAGAGAAUACCAAGGCGCUUGGGAGAAUUGUGUUGAAGGAACUCGGCAAAAUGCACCCGUAACUUCGGGAGAAGGGUGGCCUACUCUGGGCAACCAGAUGUAGGUAGCAUAAAAUAGGGGGUAGCGACUGUUUAUUAAAAACACAGGGCUCUGCGAAGUGGUAACACGACGUAUAGGGUCUGACGCCUGCCCGGUGCUGGAAGGUUAAGAGGAGUUGUGCAAGCAGCGAAUUGAAGCCCCAGUAAACGGCGGCCGUAACUAUAACGGUCCUAAGGUAGCGAAAUUCCUUGUCGGGUAAGUUCCGACCUGCACGAAUGGCGUAACGACUUCCCCGCUGUCUCCAACACAAACUCAGCGAAAUUGAAUUCCCCGUGAAGAUGCGGGGUACCCGCGGUCAGACGGAAAGACCCCGUGCACCUUUACUAUAGCUUUGCAGUGGCAUCAGAAUGCCGACGUGCAGGAUAGGUGGGAGGCUUGGAACUCAUGGCGCUAGCUGUGGGGGAGCCACCCUUGAGAUACCACCCUUCUGCGUUCUGAUGUCUAACCGAGGCCAGUUAUCCUGGUCCGGGACCCUGCAUGGUGGGUAGUUUGACUGGGGCGGUCGCCUCCUAAAUGGUAACGGAGGCGCGCGAUGGUAGGCUCAGACC
rnacentral:rRNA from 1 species